rnacentral:rRNA from 1 species
AAAACAUCGCCUCCUGCAACACGACCAAGUAUAGGAGGUCCAGCCUGCCCAGUGACUACAAGUUCAACGGCCGCGGUAUUUUGACCGUGCAAAGGUAGCGCAAUCACUUGUCUUUUAAAUAAAGACCUGUAUGAAUGGCUAAACGAGGGCUUAACUGUCUCCCUUUUCAAGUCAGUGAAAUUGAUCUGCCCGUGCAGAAGCGGACAUAUAAAUACAAGACGAGAAGACCCUUUGGAGCUUAAGGUACAAAACUCAACCAUGUCAAGCAACUCCUUAAAAAGCAAAAACUUUGUGGAAUUUGAGAUUUUACCUUCGGUUGGGGCGACCACGGAGGAAAAAAAAGCCUCCAAGUGGAUUGGGAUAGACUUCCUAAAACCAAGAAAGACAUUUCUAAGCCACAGAACAUCUGACCAAACAUGAUCCGGCCACCAAGGCCGAUCAACGAACCAAGUUACCCUAGGGAUAACAGCGCAAUCCUCUCCCAGAGUCCAUAUCGACGAGGGGGUUUACGACCUCGAUGUUGGAUCAGGACAUCCUAAUGGUGCAGCCGCUAUUAAGGGUUCGUUUGUUCAACGAUUAAAGUCCUACGUGA